GUAUAUGGAAUACAUUUCUAUAAACCCACUCUGCGUAUCUUGUAACUGUUGCUUCCAUGGGACUUGGACCUAUGUCCACACCGGCUUUACCGCUGGUGAGCGCCCAUGGGAGGAGAAACAAAACUCUUCUUUGAACUGUAGUCAGUCUGAACAUGUUUUUAUAAACGUUAAAACUUUCAACAACGGAUCUCUUGGUUCU
rnacentral:misc_RNA from 1 species